GAUGGACGCUGGCGGCGUGCCUAAUACAUGCAAGUCGAGCGAACAGACGAGGAGCUUGCUCCUCUGACGUUAGCGGCGGACGGGUGAGUAACACGUGGAUAACCUACCUAUAAGACUGGGAUAACUUCGGGAAACCGGAGCUAAUACCGGAUAAUAUAUUGAACCGCAUGGUUCAAUAGUGAAAGACGGUUUUGCUGUCACUUAUAGAUGGAUCCGCGCCGCAUUAGCUAGUUGGUAAGGUAACGGCUUACCAAGGCAACGAUGCGUAGCCGACCUGAGAGGGUGAUCGGCCACACUGGAACUGAGACACGGUCCAGACUCCUACGGGAGGCAGCAGAGGGAAUCUUCCGCAAUGGGCGAAAGCUUGACGGAGCAACGCCGCGUGAGUGAUGAAGGUCUUCGGAUCGUAAAACUCUGUUAUUAGGGAAGAACAGAUGUGUAAGUAACUAUGCACGUCUUGACGGUACCUAAUCAGAAAGCCACGGCUAACUACGUG
rnacentral:rRNA from 1 species